GUCCUGUGUCUAAACAGGUGAAAUGUCAGUCCUGUGUCUAAACAGGUGAAAUGUCAGUCCUGUGUCUAAACAGGUGAAAUGUCAGUCCUGUGUCUAAACAGGUGAAAUGUCAGUCCUGUGUCUAAACAGGUGAAAUGUCAGUCCUGUGUCUAAACAGGUGAAAUGUCAGUCCUGUGUCUAAACAGGUGAAAUGUCAGUCCUGUGUCUAAACAGGUGAAAUGUCAGUCCUGUGUCUAAA